rnacentral:tRNA from 1 species
CGCGGAGUGGAGCAGUCAGGUAGCUCGUCCGGCUACGGUCGGAAAAUCGCUGGUUCAAAUCCAGCUUCCGCGU